rnacentral:rRNA from 1 species
AACGAACGCUGGCGGCAGGCUUAACACAUGCAAGUCGAACGGGCCCUUCGGGGUCAGUGGCAGACGGGUGAGUAACGCGUGGGAACGUGCCCUUCAGUUUGGGAUAACCCAGGGAAACUUGGGCUAAUACCGGAUACGUGCGAGAGCAGAAAGAUUUAUCUCUGAAGGAUCGGCCCGCGUCUGAUUAGCUGGUUGGUAGGGUAAUGGCCUACCAAGGCGACGAUCAGUAGCGGGUCUGAGAGGAUGAUCAGCCACCGUGGGACUGGGACACGGCGCAGACUCCUUAGGGAGGCAGCAGUGGAGAAUAUUUGACAAUGGGCGAAAGCCUGAUCCAGCCAUGCCGCGUCAGUGAUGAAGGCCUUAGGGUUGUAAAGCUCUUUCAGUGGGGACGAUAAUGACGGUACCCGCAGAAGAAGCCCCGGCUUACUUCGUGCCAGCCGCCGCAGUAA